GAUGAACGCUGGCGGCGUGCCUAAUACAUGCAAGUCGAGCGAACAGACGAGGAGCUUGCUCCUCUGACGUUAGCGGCGGACGGGUGAGUAACACGUGGAUAACCUACCUAUAAGACUGGGAUAACUUCGGGAAACCGGAGCUAAUACCGGAUAAUAUAUUGAACCGCAUGGUUCAAUAGUGAAAGACGGUUUUGCUGUCACUUCUAGAUGGAUCCGCGCCGCAUUAGCUAGUUGGUAAGGUAACGGCUUACCAAGGCAACGAUGCGUAGCCGACCUGAGAGGGUGAUCGGCCACACUGGAACUGGGACGCGGUCCAGGCUCCUAAGGGAGGGAGCAGUAGGGAAUCUUCCGCAAUGGGCGAAAGCCUGACGGAGCAACGCCGCGUGAGUGAUGAAGGUCUUCGGAUCGUAAAACUCUGUUAUUAGGGAAGAACAAAUGUGUAAGUAAAUAUGCACGUAUUGACGGUAACUAAUCAGAAAGCCACGGCUAACUACGUG
rnacentral:rRNA from 1 species